GCCUGCCAGUGACAUUUAUGUUUAACGGCCGCGGUAUCUUGACCGUGUGAAGGUAGCGUAAUCAAUUGUCUUUUAAAUGAAGACUCGUAUGAAUGGCUUAACGAAAACUCAACUGUCUCAUUCUUUUAACCAAUGAAAUUGAUCUCCCCGUGCAGAAGCGGGGAUAAAAACAUAAGACGAAAAGACCCUGUGGAGCUUCAGACAAAUCCAGCUUAACAUACACCUUAACCCUGAUCGCGUCUUAGGUUGGGGCGACCGCGGAGAAAGCAUAUCCUCCAUGCAGAAAAACAUAUGUUUCCACAACUAAGAGUAACCACUCUAAGUACUAGAAAAUCUAACUUUAUGAACCGGCUUACCGAUUAACGAACCCAGUUACCCCAGGGAUAACAGCGCAAUCCCCUUUUAGAGCCCAUAUCCACAAGGGGGUUUACGACCUCGAUGUUGGACCAGGACAUCCUAAUGGCGCAUCAGCCGUUAAUGGUUCGUUUGUUCAACGAUUAAAGUCCUACGUGAUCUGA
rnacentral:rRNA from 1 species